UACGUAGGGGGCAAGCGUUGUCCAGAGUUACUGGGCGUAAAGCGCACGCAGGCGGUCUGUUAAGUUUGGAGUGACAGUUGGUGGCUUAACUGCCAAAGUGCUUCGAAAACUGAUCGACUUGAGGGCUUCAGAGGGACACGGAAUUCCGGGUGGAGUGGUGAAAUGCGUAGAGAUCCGGAGGAACACCGAAGGCGAAGGCAGUGUCCUGGGGAGUACCUGACGCUCAGGUGCGAAAGCCAGGGGAGCGAACGGG
rnacentral:rRNA from 1 species